rnacentral:rRNA from 1 species
UACGUAUGGUGCAAACGUUAUCCGGAAUGACUGGGUGUAAAGGGAGCGUAGACGGUUGUUCAAGUCUGAUGUGAAAGCCCUCGGCUUAACUGGGGGAGUGCAUUGGAAACUGAAGGACUAGAGUAUCGGAGAGGCAAGUGGAAUUCCUAGUGUGGCGGUGAAAUGCGUAGAUAUUAGGAGGAACACCAGUGGCGAAGGCGGCUUGCUGGACGAAAACUGACGUUGAGGCUCGAAAGCGUGGGGAGCAAACAGG